GACAGAGGGGGCAAGCGUUGCUCGGAAUCACUGGGCGUAAAGGGCGCGUAGGCGGCUCGGUAAGUCCGCUCUGAAAGUCCAGGGCUCAACCCUGGGAUGCGGGUGGAUACUGCCGGGCUCGAGUCCGGAAGAGGCGAGUGUAAUUCCCGGUGUAGCGGUGAAAUGCGCAGAUAUCGGGAGGAACACCAAUGGCGAAGGCAGCUCGCUGGGACGUGACUGACGCUGAGACGCGAAAGCGUGGGGAGCAAACAGG
rnacentral:rRNA from 1 species